UGGGGAAUAUUGCACAAUGGGCGAAAGCCUGAUGCAGCGACGCCGCGUGCGGGAUGAAGGCCUUCGGGUUGUAAACCGCUUUUGAUUGGGAGCAAGCGAGAGUGAGUGUACCUUUCGAAUAAGCACCGGCUAACUACGUGCCAGCAGCCGCGGUAAUACGUAGGGUGCAAGCGUUAUCCGGAAUUAUUGGGCGUAAAGAGCUCGUAGGCGGUUUGUCGCGUCUGGUGUGAAAGUCCAUCGCUUAACGGUGGAUCUGCGCCGGGUACGGGCAGGCUAGAGUGCGACAGGGGAGACUGGAAUUCCCGGUGUAACGGUGGAAUGUGUAGAUAUCGGGAAGAACACCAAUGGCGAAGGCAGGUCUCUGGGUCGUCACUGACGCUGAGGAGCGAAAGCGUGGGGAGCGAACAGGAUUAGAUACCCUGGUAGUCCACGCCGUAAACGGUGGAUGCUGGAUGUGGGGCCCAUUCCACGGGUUCCGU
rnacentral:rRNA from 1 species